rnacentral:rRNA from 1 species
GAACGAUGAAGCCCUUCGGGGUGGAUUAGUGGCGAACGGGUGAGUAACACGUGGGCAAUCUGCCCUUCACUCUGGGACAAGCCCUGGAAACGGGGUCUAAUACCGGAUAACACUCCUCAGGGCAUCUUGAGGGGUUAAAAGCUCCGGCGGUGAAGGAUGAGCCCGCGGCCUAUCAGCUUGUUGGUGGGGUAAUGGCCUACCAAGGCGACGACGGGUAGCCGGCCUGAGAGGGCGACCGGCCACACUGGGACUGAGACACGGCCCAGACUCCUACGGGAGGCAGCAGUGGGGAAUAUUGCACAAUGGGCGAAAGCCUGAUGCAGCGACGCCGCGUGAGGGAUGACGGCCUUCGGGUUGUAAACCUCUUUCAGCAGGGAAGAAGCGAAAGUGACGGUACCUGCAGAAGAAGCGCCGGCUAACUACGUGCCAGCAGCCGCGGUAAUACGUAGGGCGCAAGCGUUGUCCGGAAUUAUUGGGCGUAAAGAGCUCGUAGGCGGCUUGUCACGUCGGAUGUGAAAGCCCGGGGCUUAACCCCGGGUCUGCAUUCGAUACGGGCUAGCUAGAGUGUGGUAGGGGAGAUCGGAAUUCCUGGUGUAGCGGUGAAAUGCGCAGAUAUCAGGAGGAACACCGGUGGCGAAGGCGGAUCUCUGGGCCAUUACUGACGCUGAGGAGCGAAAGCGUGGGGAGCGAACAGGAUUAGAUACCCUGGUAGUCCACGCCGUAAACGUUGGGAACUAGGUGUUGGCGACAUUCCACGUCGUCGGUGCCGCAGCUAACGCAUUAAGUUCCCCGCCUGGGGAGUACGGCCGC